GACGAACGCUGGCGGCGUGCCUAAUACAUGCAAGUCGGACGCAGUUGCGCACGGGUGAGUAACGCGUAGGGAACUCCCCACUAGAGGGGGAUAACUCUUUGAAACGCUAGCUACUACAGCGUACUAGCAGAUGGAUGUGCGUUGUAUUAGCUAGUAGGUAGGGUAAUGGCCUACCAAGGCAACGAUCCGUAACUGGUCUGAGAGGAUGAUCAGUCACACUGGAACUGAGACACGGUCCAGACUCCUACGGGAGGCAGCAGUGGGGAAUAUUCGACAAUGGGCGAAAGCCUGAUCCAGCAAUGCAGCGUGUGUGAAGAAGGUCUUCGGAUUGUAAAGCACUUUAAGUUGGGAGGCGUUACCAACAGAAUAAGCACCGGCUAACUUCGUGCCAGCAGCCGCGGUAAUAC
rnacentral:rRNA from 1 species